rnacentral:rRNA from 1 species
GACGAACGCUGGCGGCGUGCCUAACGCAUGCAAGUCGAACGGAACUGUUUUGAAAGAUUUCUUCGGAAUGAAUUUGAUUUAGUUUAGUGGCGGACGGGUGAGUAACGCGUGAGUAACCUGCCUUCAAGAGGGGGAUAACAUUCUGAAAAGAAUGCUAAUACCGCAUGAUAUAUCGGAACCACAUGGUUCUGAUAUCAAAGAUUUUAUCGCUUGAAGAUGGACUCGCGUCCGAUUAGUUAGUUGGUGAGGUAACGGCUCACCAAGACUGCGAUCGGUAGCCGGACUGAGAGGUUGAACGGCCACAUUGGGACUGAGACACGGCCCAGACUCCUACGGGAGGCAGCAGUGGGGGAUAUUGCGCAAUGGGGGCAACCCUGACGCAGCAACGCCGCGUGAAGGAUGAAGGUUUUCGGAUUGUAAACUUCUUUUAUUAAGGACGAAAAAUGACGGUACUUAAUGAAUAAGCU